GGGAAUUCUCUUGGCGACAACUCCCCAUUGAAGAAUGUUCCUUUCUUCUGGAGAAAGGAGGGCACCUUUCACGUGGGAGUUUUUGUCUCCUGUUUUCCGGGAAAGAAGGAAGAUCAGAGUGCCCUCGUUGCAUCUGCUGUUUUCAAGUUGCCUUAGCUUGAGGUAAUCCUUAUGUCAAAGUGGCCUAUUUUGGGGUUGAAUGUUCUGCCACUCUUCACUGGGAUUGGAGUGUGUAUGUGUGUAUUUGGGGGAGAUUGGAGGCUUGAGUUUGGCGGCUCUGACAAGACCCCAGAGAUCCAGGCAGAUGGAGGCACCACCAUCUUAUUACAUCACCAUCUCAGCAUGCUGCUUCAGGGUCUCCCCCAUGGAGAAGAAAGCCAGGUGACCUCACACCUACUUUGCUGUGCUUCAGCCAAGAAGUAACCCACUUGAUUUUAACUUACAGCCUGCUCAUCAGAAUUAGCCACAUGUCCCUGAGCCAACUACAAUGGAGCCUGGAAUAUGCAAUCUUCCCCAGCAUCUGGGAGAGGAAAGUGAACAUGGAGCAUUGUCUUGGCUGUGGUGGCCAACAAACAUUGGGACAGAACUUGAUUGUAGGGGCACCAGUGGGAGGCGAGUGUUAUGAUCCGAUGGCUUCACUUGUGAUCUAUUCUUCAUGAUAAUAUAGGCUAAACCUGAGCCCUGGGCUCCAGGACAGGCAGUCUGCUGCCUUUGACUAAUUUUUAAGUGCAGAGGUGCUGGGCUUCUCUGUAGAGGAGCAGCACUGCUGAAUCACAGUGAUUUUCCUGGAGAGAGAGUCCUAGGAGGGGAUUCCAGCUGUUCCCCACCCCACCUGAAGCAAAGGCUAUUAUUCCCACAGGAGUGCUCCUGGGGAGCCUGACACCACCAGGGAGGAGCCGCACUUAACCCUGGGGCUUCUUGUCAGAGCUUUGGUUAGGUGAAACCUGGAUCCUGGAGGUGCCCUGGGAAGCUUCUGUCUCCAAGAUUCACACCCAGGAUGAAGAGUGUGGCCUGUGGUGCUGGUGGGACUCAUAGUAGACCACCUGGGAGAACACAUAGACUCAGAUCGGCAGGGCAGCCCUCUCUGCCAUGUUGGAUGAGGAGAAUCUAUUCUGCAGAGGAGGCCAGCGUGCACUGGGGAGAGGCCCCG
rnacentral:lncRNA from 10 species